rnacentral:hammerhead_ribozyme from 1 species
AUCCAGCUGACGAGUGCCAAAUAGGAGGAAACACGCAUCCUGGAU